rnacentral:pre_miRNA from 1 species
GGCCUAAAUUUGAAGUAGAGUAGUUUAGUAGGGUCAGAUAAUUCUUCUAAUCUCUCUACUUCAAAUUUGGCCCC